UAAUAAGCGAACUGAUCUGAGCUUAGAAGAAAUCCCCUUUUUUUCACUUGCGAAAGAGACGAACAAACGCAAACAGUCGAACGAAGAUGAGGAAAUUCGAUCCAUGGCCGGUGUUUUUCAGGCGAGAAUGGAAGAGGAACUGGCCGUUCCUUGUUGGUUUCGCCAUAACCGGCUCCUUAAUUACCAAGAUGACGGCUGGAUUUACUGAGGAAGAGGUGAAGAAUUCUCCCUUCGUGCAGAGGCACAAUCGGUAAAUCCUAUAAUGGGGGUAUUACUGGCGUUGGAAAAUGUGAGAUGUUUUUCAUUUGUGCAAAAUAACAGAUGCUGCAGUUAGUUUACCAGCCAUUUGAAUCAAGUUUUACUGGUACUUCUCAGUAUGUAUCAAAACUUGGAUGGAUUUUUUGUGAUGUUGUUUACUUAUAUAUGAACAUGAAUUCUUUUUCGUAUCAUCGUUGGAUUGAAAGCUUUUCCCUUCUUUAAUUUGGAAUGGUAGAAACUUGUUCAUGUACUGAUUAGUACUUGUCGUAUAAAAGCUUACAUGAAUAGUUAGAUUA